GUUUCAUCGCAGACUCUGUAUUUGACAGAUGAUUCGAAUAUAGCAAUUUUCCCGGCACAGUCGGGUUAUUUCAGUGCCCUAGACUUCACUGCACGUGGGCAUUAUGAGGUCCAUGGGGAUGAAGUGGAGAAAGGGGUUCUCACCCCAGGAACACCCCUCUCAACCCCAACAGCCUCCCAGCGUUUCUCCUUUACACGCAAUACUCCACCCUCUGCAGCUGCUGGUUCACCUGCGGCGGCUGUUGCAGGACCUCCGAAAGCCGCCAUGACUCGAUCAUUUCAGAGGUAACUUAUCGUUAUUUUAUUUAUGCAUGUUAUGUUAGAAAGAUUCUCAGUAAAGCUUUGAAAAACAGCUAUAUUUCAUUUAUAUUGAUAAUUUUCACAGUCAAAAGACACUACUAUUUUAUUUUAGACACUACUAUUUGUAUCAUGGGCACCAAAAUGUCGAAAAGCACACAGGUUCAGUUGGCUCCAUGUAGCAUAAUUUAUUAACAAAAACGCCUAAAAAUUUAGUGAUUUAUACUUUAGUUUGUGUGUGUGUGUGUGAAAGAGAAAUUAAAUUCUGAAUUUGUCAUGUGCAUAAUGUCUCCAGAUCCAUUUACAUAGCUGAUUUAGUAAACGGCAAACUGAGGCCAAGCAGGAUGGUGGUAGUUCGUUUCAUGGAAUGUGAGGCUACAGUACAUGGCAUUAUUGGGAAAGUUCAAGAUGCUCUUGGCAGUUAUGAUCCUGUAAUUCUCACCGAUGCCCAGGGCAAUGAGAUACUUGACUCUGAAGGAACUAAAGGAUCCAUCUACUGGAAGCAAAAUGCCCGCAAGGUAUUUGCCAUUGCAGAGCACGACUUCACAGAAUUUCAAGGCAGCAAGAGGAAAAGAAGCUCAAGUCGGAAAGAUGAUGAAACAUCAAGUCUACAAGAUGUCUAUGAUAAGAUAGAAGAAGUGGUGCUGGCGUCACAGGGCCUUCAGCAAGUUAUCUCAACUAUCAAAGAGCUUUCUGAGCUGUCCAGUCAAACACCUGCCAAAACCUUGACUGAAGUCCAAACAGAGAAAAUAAAAGCAGCUUUCACUUGCAUAGUCUGCAAAGGACCCAUUGAUCAACCAGUAUUUGCCACCUGCUGUAGAAGCCUGAUCGGAUGCAAACUUUGUGUUGAUCAAUGGAUGGCUACUUCAUCACAGUGCUUAAAAUGCAGAGAGGAAGCUCUUAGCAACCACAUCUUUCUUGCAGCAGGUCUCUCUGAAGCUUUGUUAGCUCUUGGUGACAUCAUUAGGGUAGAGUAGGCCUACAUUACCCAGGAAAAAAUGUUUAGCUGUUCAGCAAUUCAAGUUUAGUUCAGUAGUUUAUUUGACAGUUGUUGUGUAAAGUUUUGUUGCACAACUACUUAAAACAAGAAGUAAAAAGAAAUACUUUAAUUUAUCAGCAUCAUGUUGAUGCUUAAAUUUGUGUGUAAUAUUUUGUUUCUAGAAAAAACACUUGAUGGAAAGCAGCAUUGAACAAUUAGAAGGCAUGCUCUUUAAGAGUAUCUUUGAGUUAAAUUUACUAAACAGACCAAAGCCUCUUUAAAAGGCAAAAAGUUUUUGUUGACCGUAUUAUUGAGCAAGUAAGUGAUGUCUGGCCACUUUUCUGAAAACAGUUGUUCCACUGUAGCCUUCUCAUGUUCACUUGUAAAAGGGUCUGUUCCAAAGGCCGAAACCCUUGUCAAAGAUGAUCCCAGUGUGUUCAUGUACAGAUCAGCUGCUUCAGUUCCAUGAGGCAGUAGUGCUGCUGAGAUUUUUUUUGCACAACCACCCUGUGCAAUCUGGUUGGGGAUUCCUUUUCCUGUAGUAAAUGGGACAUGUUAACUUGUAAUAAAUGUUUAAAUGUCAACUGCUUGUCA
ensembl:lncRNA